UCCCAGCAAGUGUCCAUCCAUCUCUGUGUCCAUAAGAGAGGACUGGCCUUGCAGGGUGC
ensembl:miRNA MIR7138 microRNA mir-7138